rnacentral:rRNA from 1 species
UAACCAUGCAAGUCGAACGCUCACCUUCGGGUGGGAGUGGCAGACGGGUGAGUAACACGUGGGAACGUACCCUUUGGUUCGGGACAACUCUGGGAAACUGGAGCUAAUACCGGAUACGCCCUUUUGGGGAAAGGUUUACUGCCGAAGGAUCGGCCCGCGUCUGAUUAGCUAGUUGGUGGGGUAACGGCCUACCAAGGCGACGAUCAGUAGCUGGUCUGAGAGGAUGAUCAGCCACACUGGGACUGAGACACGGCCCAGACUCCUACGGGAGGCAGCAGUGGGGAAUAUUGGACAAUGGGCGCAAGCCUGAUCCAGCCAUGCCGCGUGAGUGGUGAAGGCCUUAGGGUUGUAAAGCUCUUUUAUCCGGGACGAUAAUGACGGUACCGGAGGAAUAAGCCCCGGCUAACUUCGUGCCAGCAGCCGCGGUAAUACGAAGGGGGCUAGCGUUGCUCGGAAUCACUGGGCGUAAAGGGCGCGUAGGCGGCGUUUUAAGUCGGGGGUGAAAGCCUGUGGCUCAACCACAGAAUGGCCUUCGAUACUGGGACGCUUGAGUCUGGUAGAGGUUGGUGGAACUGCGAGUGUAGAGGUGAAAUUCGUAGAUAUUCGCAAGAACACCGGUGGCGAAGGCGGCCAACUGGACCGG